rnacentral:ribozyme from 1 species
CUCAAGGCGUCGUGCGCAUUUGACCCUCCUUGGAACUCCGACUCAGUGCUUGGACGCCC